GUGUGUGGUGGGCAAUGUGGUUGCAACAUCUAUCACACUAUUGGUCACCAUUCAGCUGAUCUGGCUGGCUAGGUAAAGUUCCCUUCCUCCCUUACCACCCCAUCUGUGUACUUCUUGCUGCAUGCCCAGAAGAGGAGAGCCUUCCUGGAUAGUACAGGUCUGUUAUUCUCUUUAAGUGAAUAUGAGCA
rnacentral:snRNA from 1 species